GAUUACAAAAUGCACUCUAAUCUAAAAACAAUGCUGCACAACUUUGUCUUAUGCAUGCUUUCUGAGAUGUCUUCAUCUUUGACCAUAAUCUUGAUUUGAUCCAGAUUGCACUGCAUGAGAUAAGUAUGUUUCUGCUUCUUCUUUAUUUUCCUAAUUAGGCUUCCAUGUCUAUUUUAGUGUAAUUCGAUCCAUGUGAUUUGUCAG
rnacentral:lncRNA from 1 species